AUGCUCGAUCUGGCAGCACAUAUGCUAAAACUAGAGCAAUACAGAGAAGAUCAGCAUUGCCCCUGCGAAUUUGUGAAGUAGUCCAUGUGUUA
rnacentral:snRNA from 1 species